CGGUUCUCUAAUUUGACUCAGCUUCAGAUUGGAAUGUUUCUCUCCUCACUGGGAAAAGCUCCUUUGGUCUCAGUGAACUCAGAGGUGGAGAAAGUCAUAAGAAUCAGGGAGCCUGCCCCAAAUUGCCUCCUAUGAUAACUUUCCACAAAGACUGGAGGGGAGGCUUCAAACAUCUUCCUGCAGUGUCCAGCAAGACAGCGAGGCAGACUCCCUUUCUCCUGCCAAAGCCACGUGGAGCCAGACAGAACCACAAGCAUACCUGUGGUGCUUGGAGGCCCAAGUAGAAACUUGAAUGCUCACGGCUGCAUUGGCAGCUUCUACUUGCCUGCCUGGAUCACCGUUCCUCAUGAGAACUUGGAAAAGCAGGACUAUCAUUCUUGCUUGACAGACGAAGAAACCAAGCCUCAGGACUGCGUGCAAUUCUACUUGGAGAUCUUCAUAACACCUUAAGGGAAAAAUCCUUUUUGAAAGAAAAACAAGUCUGGGUGGUGCUUGAAAAUUCAGAAGGCAGCUAGAAACUCUGCCAAUUACAACUGGUGAUUGCUGAGUUCUGGAGACAGACUGGGCUUCUGCUUUCUUUUGGUGGAGGUGUCUGCUUGCAGAAAAUUUAUGUUCUGGGAUUUACAACUUCAGGGAGACAAAGGAAACUCCAGCUCAUCUCCCACAUCAUUGAUUGAGAGGACCAUUUUCUGACUGUCUGCACACGGAUGGGCAUUUGAAUUAUUUCCAGUUUUUGGCUAUUAUGAAAAAAACUGCUAUGAACAUUCAUACACAAGUGUGUGUGUGGACCCAUGUUUUCACUGAUCAAGGCCUAAAUACCUACGUGGUGCUUCGUGAACCCUGGAUGCUACAGUCUCUGGCCACAGCACUAAAUGUAUGCUGAGAUCUGGCUUCACGGUCG
rnacentral:lncRNA from 10 species